AAAGAAACAAAAGAAAAAGAAUAGAAAGUUAUAGAGAAAGAAACGUGAAAGAGAGAAAGAAAGAAGAAAAGAAAAAGAAAAAGGGAAAAUUCAAGGUUAAGGGCUUAAAGCUUGAUUGCACCGGAAUCGUCGUUGAUUGAGAAGGGAAAGGAAAAAGUGAUUGAGGAAUAGCUCGAGAAAAAUAUCGGUUAGGUAAAGCUGAAGUUCAGUUAAGCAUCCGAGUCAAUCCCGACCUCAACUCAAUUUUGGUGAUGUAUCUAUCUUUUAGAAAUGUGGCAUGUACUAGAUUUGGUGUUUGUCACUUGUAAAUGUUUUAUAUUUUGAAUGUAAAUGUAGUGCAUAAUCCUUAAGAGGUAAUGAAAUGAAUGAAUGAAUAUUUGCUAAGUUUGAAAGGUUUGAUGAAUGUUAUUUGAUCAAGAUUUAUAAGUAAA